CUACGGGCUGCUGCAGUGAGGAAUAUUGCGCAAUGGGGGAAACCCUGACGCAGCGACGCCGCGUGGAUGAUGAAGGCUUUCGGGUCGUAAAAUCCUGUCAGAUGGAAAGAAAUGUAAUCCUGCUAAUACCAUGAUUACUUGACGGUACCAUCAGAGGAAGCACCGGCUAACUCCGUGCCAGCAGCCGCGGUAAUACGGAGGGUGCAAGCGUUGUUCGGAAUUACUGGGCGUAAAGCGCGCGUAGGCGGUUUGUUAAGUCAGAUGUGAAAGCCCAGGGCUCAACCCUGGACGUGCAUUUGAAACUGGCAGACUUGAGUAUUGGAGGGGGUGGUGGAAUUCCCGGUGUAGAGGUGAAAUUCGUAGAUAUCGGGAGGAAUACCGGUGGCGAAGGCGACCACCUGGCCAAAUACUGACGCUGAGGUGCGAAAGCGUGGGGAGCAAACAGGAUUAGAUACCCUCGUAGUC
rnacentral:rRNA from 1 species